rnacentral:rRNA from 1 species
CCAAUAGCGUAUAUUUAAGUUGUUGCAGUUAAAAAGCUCGUAGUUGAAUUUCAGGCCUGGCUGGACGGUCCGCCCUUCGGGUGAGUACUGUCUGUGGUCGGGUCCUACCUUCUGGCGAAGCGUCAUGGCCUUAACCGGCCGUGGCGGGGAACCAGGACUUUUACUGUGAAAAAAUUAGAGUGUUUAAAGCAGGCUCACGCUUGAAUACAUUAGCAUGGAAUAAUGAAAUAGGACGUUUGAUUCUAUUUUGUUGGUUUCUAGGAUCGACGUAAUGAUUAAUAGGGAUAGUUGGGGGCAUUAGUAUUCAAUUGUCAGAGGUGAAAUUCUUGGAUUUAUUGAAGACUAACUACUGCGAAAGCAUUUGCCAAGGAUGUUUUCAUUAAUCAAGAACGAAAGUUAGGGGAUCGAAGACGAUCAGAUACCGUCGUAGUCUUAACCAUAAACUAUGCCGACUAGGGAUCGGAUGAUGUUAAUUUUUUAAUGACUCAUUCGGCGCCUUACGGGAAACCAAAGUGUUUGGNUUC